rnacentral:rRNA from 1 species
UGAGGGAAUAUUGGGUCAAUGGGCGCGAGCCUGAACCAGCCAAGUAGCGUGCGGGAAGAAGGCCCUAUGGGUUGUAAACCGCUUUUACCGGGGGAUAAAGUGAGCGACGUGUCGCUCAUUGCAGGUACCCGGCGAAUAAGGACCGGCUAAUUCCGUGCCAGCAGCCGCGGUAAUACGGAAGGUCCGGGCGUUAUCCGGAUUUAUUGGGUUUAAAGGGAGCGUAGGCCGGAUGUCAAGCGUGUUGUGAAAUGCCGGGGCUCAACCUUGGCACUGCAGCGCGAACUGGCGUCCUUGAGUGCGCACGCCGCGGGUGGAAUUCGUUGUGUAGCGGUGAAA